rnacentral:tRNA from 1 species
GCGGGUAUGGUCCAAUGGUCGGGCCACGGGCUUCCACCCCGUUGAAGCGAGUUCGAUUCUCGCUGCCCGCU